CGCUGGCGGCGCGCCUAACACAUGCAAGUCGAACGGAGUUUCCCCUUCGGGGGGAGCUUAGUGGCGGACGGGUGAGUAACACGUGAGGAACCUGCCUUUGAGAGCGGGAUACCGUCUGGAAACGGACGUUAAUACCGCAUAAUGCAGCGAGGCCACAUGGCCAUGCUGCCAAAGAUUUAUCGCUCAAAGAUGGCCUCGCGCCUGAUUAGAUAGUUGGCGGGGUAACGGCCCACCAAGUCUGCGAUCAGUAGCCGGACUGAGAGGUCGAACGGCCACAUUGGGACUGAGAUACGGCCCAGACUCCUACGGGAGGCAGCAGUGGGGGGAUAUUGCACAAUGGGCGAAAGCCUGAUGCAGCGACGCCGCGUGAGGGAAGACGGUUUUCGGAUUGUAAACCUCUGUCUUCGGGGACGAAACAAGACGGUACCCGAGGAGGAAGCCACGGCUAACUACGUG
rnacentral:rRNA from 1 species